AAUAAGAUGCCUGAAUAAAGGACUAUCUUGAUAGGAUAGAUCAUGUAAACUUUACUCUUAUUA
rnacentral:tRNA from 1 species